UCCUCCGUGGCGCAAUUGGCUAGCGCGUCAGACUGUUAAGUGAAAGUUGGAAACUUAGUAAGUUCCAUCCUUCCUGAGCACAUCUGGAGGCUGUAAGUUCGACCCUUACCGGAGGAG